UACGGGGGGGGGCAAGCGUUGUUCGGAAUUACUGGGCGUAAAGGGCUCGUAGGCGGCCAACUAAGUCAGACGUGAAAUCCCUCGGCUUAACCGGGGAACUGCGUCUGAUACUGGAUGGCUUGAGGUUGGGAGAGGGAUGCGGAAUUCCAGGUGUAGCGGUGAAAUGCGUAGAUAUCGGAAGGAACAUCAGUGGCGAAAGCGGCUUCCUGGACCAGUACCGACGUUCAGGCACGAAAGCGUGGGGAGCAAACAGG
rnacentral:rRNA from 1 species